rnacentral:rRNA from 1 species
AUGUUCACAUGAUUAAAGGUAUUCCGGUAGACGAUGGGGAUGCGUUCCAUUAGAUAGUAGGCGGGGUAACGGCCCACCUAGUCUUCGAUGGAUAGGGGUUCUGAGAGGAAGGUCCCCCACAUUGGAACUGAGACACGGUCCAAACUCCUACGGGAGGCAGCAGUGAGGAAUAUUGGUCAAUGGGCGAGAGCCUGAACCAGCCAAGUAGCGUGAAGGAUGACUGCCCUAUGGGUUGUAAACUUCUUUUAUAAAGGAAUAAAGUCGGGUAUGCAUACCCGUUUGCAUGUACUUUAUGAAUAAGGAUCGGCUAACUCCGUGCCAGCAGCCGCGGUAAUACGGAGGAUCCGAGCGUUAUCCGGAUUUAUUGGGUUUAAAGGGAGCGUAGAUGGAUGUUUAAGUCAGUUGUGAAAGUUUGCGGCUCAACCGUAAAAUUGCAGUUGAUACUGGAUAUCUUGAGUGCAGUUGAGGCAGGCGGAAUUCGUGGUGUAGCUGUGAAAUGCUUAGAUAUCACGAAGAACUCCGAUUGCGAAGGCAGCCUGCUAAGCUGCAACUGACAUUGAGGCUCGAAAGUGUGGGUAUCAAACAGGAUUAGAUACCCUGGUAGUCCACACGGUAAACGAUGAAUACUCGCUGUUUGCGAUAUACAGCAAGCGGCCAAGCGAAAGCGUUAAGUAUUCCACCUGGGGAGUACGCCGGCAACGGUGAAACUCAAAGGAAUUGACGGGGGCCCGCACAAGCGGAGGAACAUGUGGUUUAAUUCGAUGAUACGCGAGGAACCUUACCCGGGCUUAAAUUGCAGAUGAAUUACGGUGAAAGCCGUAAGCCGCAAGGCAUCUGUGAAGGUGCUGCAUGGUUGUCGUCAGCUCGUGCCGUGAGGUGUCGGCUUAAGUGCCAUAACGAGCGCAACCCUUGUUGUCAGUUACUAACAGGUCAUGCUGAGGACUCUGACAAGACUGCCAUCGUAAGAUGUGAGGAAGGUGGGGAUGACGUCAAAUCAGCACGGCCCUUACGUCCGGGGCUACACACGUGUUACAAUGGGGGGUACAGAGGGCCGCUACCACGCGAGUGGAUGCCAAUCCCAAAAACCUCUCUCAGUUCGGACUGGAGUCUGCAACCCGACUCCACGAAGCUGGAUUCGCUAGUAAUCGCGCAUCAGCCACGGCGCGGUGAAUACGUUCCCGGGCCUUGUACACACCGCCCGUCAAGCCAUGGGAGCCGGGGGUACCUGAAGUGCGUAACCGCGAGGAGCGCCCUAGGGUAAAACUGGUGACUGGGGCUAAGUCGUAACAAGGUA